rnacentral:tRNA from 1 species
AGAGAGUUAGUUUAGAGAAAAUAUUGAGUUGUCGACUCAGUGAGGCUAAAUUAGCACUUUCUU